rnacentral:rRNA from 1 species
GCCCAAGCGACUGUUUAUCAAAAACACAGGUCUCUGCUAAACCGUAAGGUGAUGUAUAGGGGCUGACGCCUGCCCGGUGCUGGAAGGUUAAGAGGAGUGGUUAGCUUCUGCGAAGCUACGAAUCGAAGCCCCAGUAAACGGCGGCCGUAACUAUAACGGUCCUAAGGUAGCGAAAUUCCUUGUCGGGUAAGUUCCGACCCGCACGAAAGGCGUAACGAUUUGGGCACUGUCUCAACGAGAGACUCGGUGAAAUCAUAGUACCUGUGAAGAUGCAGGUUACCCGCGACAGGACGGAAAGACCCCGUGGAGCUUUACUGUAGCCUGAUAUUGAAAUUCGGCACAGCUUGUACAGGAUAGGUAGGAGCCUUUGAAACGUGAGCGCUAGCUUACGUGGAGGCGCUGGUGGGAUACUACCCUAGCUGUGUUGGCUUUCUAACCCGCACCACUUAUCGUGGUGGGAGACAGUGUCAGGCGGGCAGUUUGACUGGGGCGGUCGCC